rnacentral:rRNA from 1 species
UACGGAGGGUGCAAGCGUUAAUCGGAAUUACUGGGCGUAAAGCGUGCGUAGGCGGUUCGUUAAGUCUGUUGUGAAAGCCCCGGGCUCAACCUGGGAAUGGCAAUGGAUACUGGCGAGCUAGAGUGUGUCAGAGGAUGGUGGAAUUCCCGGUGUAGCGGUGAAAUGCGUAGAGAUCGGGAGGAACAUCAGUGGCGAAGGCGGCCAUCUGGGACAACACUGACGCUGAGGCACGAAAGCGUGGGGAGCAAACAGGAU